ACCUGAGAUCACCAUAGUAACUUGUAAGCAACUCACUAUAUUUUAGUAUCGGACUAUCUGCAUUUCUAAUACAUUGAUAGAAGGCUAUUGGGUAAGUCAAGUACUUACGAUGUUUGUAUGUGGAUCAAGAUGUGAUUGAUUCCUUUGGAUUAUUAGAGUUAAUAUAUUACUGUAUUUCAAUUUAGUAAAAUCUUAACUCGGAUAAUUCAUGUGA
rnacentral:lncRNA from 1 species